UGGGGGAUAUUGCACAAUGGGCGAAAGCCUGAUGCAGCGACGCCGCGUGGGGGAUGAAGGCCUUCGGGUUGUAAACUUCUUUUGCUCUGAACAAGGCAUGCUAAUGGGUGUGUUGAGGGUAGGGGUUGAUUGGCGCCGGCUAACUACGUGCCAGCAGCCGCGGUAAUACGUAGGGCGCGAGCGUUGUCCGGAAUUAUUGGGCGUAAAGGGCUUGUAGGUGGCUGGUUGCGUCUGUCGUGAAAGCUCAUGGCUUAACUGUGGGUUUGCGGUGGGUACGGGCUGGCUUGAGUGCAGUAGGGGAGGCUGGAAUUCCUGGUGUAGCGGUGGAAUGCGCAGAUAUCAGGAGGAAUACCGGUGGCGAAGGCGGGUCUCUGGGCUGUUACUGACACUGAGGAGCGAAAGCAUGGGGAGCGAACAGG
rnacentral:rRNA from 1 species